rnacentral:tRNA from 1 species
GCCCAAGUGAUGAAAUGGUAGACGUGGGGAACUUAAACUUCCCUGUCCUUUAGUGACGUGCCGGUUCGAGUCCGGCCUUGGGCACCA